rnacentral:lncRNA from 1 species
AGUCUUUCUCUGAAGUCAAAAACUGUUCUAGAUUUCAAUAUCCAAUCUGUAAAAACAGAUAUAUAAAUCAAAAUUUCCAGCAAACAACGGGAAUUUACAUUAAUAAAGAUUCACAAUAAUUCUCUUCGUCGCUUGAAUCUGUACCUCCAAUAAUCAAACAAUGAAGCACGUGUUUUUUAUUUUGGGUCUCUUAGUGAUCUUCCAUGGCGCUGCUGCAUUUGGUCAUUUCAAUAGUGUAGUUGGUAGUUCAGCUGGUGCUAUUGGAGAACAACCUUUAUCAAAGAUUGCAAUCCAUAAAACUAAACUUGCUCUUCGGGAUUCUGCUUCCAUUAAAGCCACCCCUCUUCUUCUUGGCAUAAAAGUAAGUAAAUUUCUGCUAUUCACAUGGGUUUCAUCUCACAUAAUCUCUCUGUUCUUUUGCGUUUGCCAAUUAAGUUGUGGUUUUUGUUUUUCUCAUUUUGUGUGUUGGCUCUUUGCUUUUUUAAAAGUUUCAGAAUUGUAAACUAGUAUCUGUUGGACUGUGUGGCCAUUAAUCUUGCUGUAUUGACAUAAUAUUCCUACACAUGUAAAGGAUCUUUUAGAGGCGGUUUUUGGGUGCAAGUGAGUUGUGAAGAAAAUUUGCUACUAUAAUUCUACUUGUAAUUUGUUUAUUUUCUUGUUUCAUUAGAAAGUAGGGAUUAGGAUUUAAUCCAUAAUAGGAUCAUGAUUUCCUUCCUAAGUGCAUUACUAAUUGUGUUUAGUUAAAAUUCGAAAAUCAACUAUGCAAUUUUUUUGUUAAAAGGGAACUAAAAGUUCGCCCUGAGUUUUUGACUUCAAGCGGCCCCAUUCCUGUAAAAGCGAUUUGUUAGUGAGUUAAUAGAAAAGCUAUUUCUUUCUUAAUGAUUUUGCAUAAAAAUAGAGGCCAAUCCUUACUCCUUCAGGUCUAUGGGGGAAAUGAUGUUUUUGUUUAUGAUUUGGUAACAGGGCGAGGACACUGAAUGGGUCGAUGUGGAUUUUGAAAAUGACAAACCUGGUGAUGAUGAUUGGAUUGGAGUUUUUUCUCCAGCAAAAUUCAAGUAAGCUCCAGUUGUAGAUUUAUUUUAGCAUUCUGGCUAUUUCUAGUUGGUCUGUGUUAUCAAAGAUUAUGCAUUGAAAUUUUGAAACUCUAUGCAUUUUUCUUGUAUCAAUGAUGAACAAAUGUCGGGAAUUGUCAGCGCAUCAAAUUGUUACGAUGAAAAUAACAGAAAAGAUCAAGCUCCAUAUAUAUGCUCAUCCCCUAUAAAGGUGUGUGCACAACUAGUUUUAAUAUUAAGAAUCAGAAAAUGUGAGAUUUUUUUGCCUUUACUAACGGAUGUCAAAUUGCAUGUAUAUAAUCAUUGCAGUACAAAUUUGCAAAUUUCUCCGAGUCCCAUUAUAUGAAGACUGGGAAAGCUUCUUUAAAGUUCCAGUUAAUCAAUCAGCGUGAAGAUUUCUCCUUUGCAUUGUUUGCAGGUGGAUUAUCAAAUGUAAGUGAAGUCACUUUUUUCUGUUAAAUCUUGUGAUUUUUUCACUUUCUGAAUAUAACUUGCCACUGUAUCCUUCUGGUAGUUUACAUCUAUUUCUAGAUCUUUAUAAAUUUGCGUUUGGAAAUAAUUAGUUUGGAACUGAUGUAAACUUAAGAAAAUUACAUAUCAAAUUGGUUUCUAUAUAUAUUGUUUGAAUAUCUGUGAAAAUUUCUGUUAUUCUAAAAAUGCAUCAGUAACUUUUCUUUAAAAUGAUAAUCAUAGUUCAAAUUCAUUGAAAUCUUUAAAUCUUCAGAUAACUUACCCAUAUUUAAAAUUCACAAUAAUAUAAAAACAGUAUUGAAAUGCUGGUUGCUUGGGCUAUCAUUUACCUCACUCUCGGUGGACUAAAAUUAUCUUACGUUCUUUUUGUAUUCCAUGCUGGUUCAUCUUCUUAUCAUUAUUUCAAUGUUGUUUGUUUGUAAGUAUUUUGAUAGCACUCUCACAUGAACUAAAGCCAUAGCAUUCCAUUGCAGCCUAAACUUGUAGCAGUAUCAAAUUCCAUAGCUUUUGCAAAUCCUAAAGCACCACUUUAUCCUCGCCUUGCUCAAGGGAAAUCUUGGGAUGAAGUAAGUUAUCUUGAUGUUUGCCAAUAUUUAUUUUUUAAUGGUUUAUGUCAUCAUGUAGCUAAAAUUGAACUUGGACAUGAAUCUUUGUCCGUUACCUUAUGGAAGUUACAUUUGCCUCUACCUUAAAAAAUUUGGAUCGGUCAACUAGAUACUUUUAGCCCUCAUUUUAUUGCAUUGUUCUCUUUCGUUCACUGAGUUUAGUAAGCAGUAUUAAAUCAUACUGGACAGUAUGACCAACACAAUUUCAAAUUCUUUUUCUUAUUUAAUAUUGUUCAGUAUUGUCUAAUCUACCUUACCAAACUUGCCAUUAAUGUCUUAAUAGAAUUUACUCUCCUGCAAAGUGAACUAUUAGAUUUCUACUUCUUCAUCUGAAUUGCACUUUGCAGAUUACAGUAACAUGGACAAGUGGCUAUAAUAUAGAUGAAGCCAUUCCUUUUGUGGAAUGGGGUUGGAAGGGUCAAAAACAAAAGCGCUCACCAGCGGGAACAUUAACAUUUGAGCGUAAAAGCAUGUGUGGUAUGAUUUACUUUUUAUGACCACAUUCUUGCUAAGAUAUGCUGAUGUGCUAUAUAGUCAAGUUUUCUGUCUCCAAUGAUUGUUGGGGGUGUUGGAAGAAUAAGCAUUCUAGAUUAUAUAUGCAAGUUUUCUUUCUCGAAGAUGACCUUGUAAUUAGCUAAAGGUAGAUGGAGUGAGUUAGCUCAUGAGGCAUAAUUUAACUACCCCAAAGUUUGGACUUUUGAAGGUAUUUUUGGUUGCUUGACUGAUGAUACUUGUGAAUAAUUUUCUUCUUCGGAUUUUGUUACGUCUGGAAGUUUUGCUUUUUGGACAGGAAAACCCCUCUUUCGUGUAGCUAAAAAUCUUGUUUUUAGUAUAUUUUGAUUAAAGUCAAUGAAAUGUGUAAUUGAAAAGUUUAUGAAAUGUGUGUUGAAAAUUAAUUGUUGACUUUAACUAAGUUUUACUUUAACUAAGUUUUUAUCAACUAUUUAAGCCACACCAAACAGGGACUAAAUCACUAACAAUCUUAACUCCAAAACCUUUUCUGAAUAGUACAAGCGUUUGGGUUGCAAUGUAAAAUAUACUCAAAAUUGGAAUGAAUAGGCAAUUUAAUUUCAUACUGGAGCUGUAUGUCCAAUGUUUUAUUAAGAUUUAAUAAAUUAAAGAAUCAUGGUCUUUUUUUUCUUACCUAUGUUUUCUCUCUCAAUCCACUGAUGUCUUGUCCCUUGGUUUCAAUUUAAAGAGCAAAUGUUAAUCAAAUCUAUCAGGUGGUCUCUUUUUUAGGAUACCUAUGGAUUUUAGUAAACAUAAAACAAUGUGAUGACUGAAAUGCAUCUGAUAAGAAUACUCAAAUUGGUCUGUAGGUUCACCGGCACGUACAGUUGGCUGGCGUGACCCUGGUUUCAUACAUACUAGUUUCUUAAAGGAUUUGUGGCCAAAUACUGUGUAAGUCUCCAUAGCAUCUGUGUUUUAUAAGAAAAAAAUUCUGGCAGGCAUCAAUAAUAUAGUUAUUCUCUACUGUUGCUGCAAUUCCAGAUAUACUUACAAAUUGGGUCACCUAUUAAGAAAUGGAUCCUACAUUUGGAGCAAGAUGUAUUCGUUCAGAUCGUCCCCAUAUCCAGGACAAGACUCACUGCAACGAGUUAUAAUAUUUGGUGACAUGGGGAAGGUAAUAUUGAUCAUUAAUUUUGUAAUAAGUAUAUCCUUUCUUUUCUCUGUCCCUACUAGAAAUACUGAAAGAAGAUAGAAAGACUUUACCCCAUUCAAAUAAUCUGAAAAGAUUCGAGUCAAAUGAAGAGAUUAUGGAGCUUCUUGUGAGAAAUAAUGUUUAACUAACUAAGGGCAUCUUCAGCUGUUGUGAUGAUUAUGAACUAAAAUAGUGUGUCUUUGCCAUCUAGUGCUGAGGUGUGUUGAAAGUCCUUGCCAAAUUAUUUUCCGGUGCUCAAACCGUUAACGUAGUUCACUUAUUUUAUGUAUAUAAGUUAUUUGACUGUGUUUAAUGCAUUUAACAUGAGAUACUAUGACUUUCAGGCAGAACGUGACGGUUCAAAUGAAUAUAGCAAUUAUCAGCCCGGCUCUCUGAAUACCACCGAUCAACUCAUCCGGGAUGUAAAGAACAUUGACAUAGUUUUCCAUAUAGGAGACAUCACAUAUUCAAAUGGCUAUAUCUCACAAUGGGACCAAUUCACGGCACAGGUGGAACCCAUAGCAUCAACUGUGCCUUAUAUGAUUGCAAGGUGUGUUCAUAUAUCAUGUGAUAAUGCAUUUCGUAUUUUUUGAUAUAACUUUUUAUCAUGGCCAAAUUUUUACAAUGUUACAUAUCAACUUGUUCCACAGUGGCAAUCAUGAGCGUGAUUGGCCUGGGACAGGAUCCUUUUAUGACACUCCAGACUCUGGUGGUGAAUGUGGUGUGCUAGCAGAGACUAUGUUCUACGUUCCUGCAGAGAAUAGAGCCAAGUUUUGGUGACUGAUUUAUUCUUUUCUAAAGUAAAAAGUUGGAAAGCUGAUUUUUAUCUUCUGAGCCCUGUUUUAUCUUGAUCAUAAUAAUUUGACUCUUCUUGUAUGUAAAGAAAUGCUAGCCAUAGGAGCUACAUCUACUUAUUGUUGCAGUUUCAGAUUUAUAAUACUUCGCCUCAGUAUUUGAGCUACAUCUACUUUUUGCAUAGAUUUUUCACUAUAACAAAGGAGGAGAUAAUAAGAUUUGUCAUACACCUCUUAGUUUUGUCCACCCAAAAAUGCUCUCUCCCCAUCUUCUUCUUAAAAUACUUUUUGAUAUGAAUAUUAGGGAGAACUAAUCAGACCACCCAAUAUACUGUUGGAUAAAGAGUUAACCACGAUGUCUUUGCUCGGAAAACCCUUAGCAGGGAAAAUUUACAAUGUAGUUAGGCUCCACAGUAUAUCAAGAAAAGUAGCUUGCUAAAUGGAUUUAAAUAUUUUCUUCUAAGGCUAUGGAGUUCCUUUUUUAGUAGUAAAACUUUACAUAGUUUGUUAUUGGGACUGUGUCUUCUAUGUAAAUUGAAAAAUGACAUAUAUACUCGUUCACAGGUACUCAACAGAUUAUGGUAUGUUUCACUUCUGCAUAGCAGAUACUGAGCAUGAUUGGAGAGAGGGAUCCGAGCAGUACAAGUUUAUUGAAGGUUGCCUUGCAUCAGCAGAUAGGCGAAAACAGCCUUGGUUAAUCUUUGCUGCUCAUAGGGUCCUUGGAUAUUCUUCUAAUAAAUGGUAUGGAUUAGAAGGCUCAUUUGAAGAGCCAAUGGGAAGGGAAAGCUUGCAAAAGCUCUGGCAAAAGUACAAGGUUGACAUUGCGUUCUUUGGCCAUGUCCACAAUUAUGAAAGAACUUGCCCAAUUUACCAGGUAAACCUCUCUGGCAUGUUUGAAAUGUUGCUGUUCUACUUGCUGGAUAGGAUUAGUGAAGAAAAAUAAGUUGAAAUGUUGCUGUUCUACAUGCUCUAGACUAUUUUUCCUUGUUAAUUUUGCAUAAAAUAUCUUCAAGUGACUAGAUUAACUUUUAUGGACCGAUUUCUUGCACUUUUCCCACUUGAAACUUUUUUAAUUUUUUUCUGCAGAAUCAAUGCGUGAACUCGGAAAGAUCACACUACUCAGGCAUUGUGAAUGGGACAAUACAUGUCGUUGUUGGUGGAGGAGGGAGCCAUUUGUCGGAGUUCAGUUCGGUUAUCCCUAGUUGGAGUCUGUACCGGGAUUAUGAUUUUGGUUUUGUCAAAUUGACAGCAUUUAACCACUCGUCCCUUCUUUUCGAAUACAAGAAGAGCAGUGAUGGAAAGGUGUAUGAUUCUUUCACUAUCUCAAGAGACUACAAAGAUGUUUUAGCUUGUGUGCAUGACGGCUGUGAAGCAACCACUUUAGCAACUUGAACAACACAUAUUUACUGGAAGGAACCCAUUGAUAUUGUUCCAUAGGACAAUUUCUUGUUUUUUCGUGAAAUAAGGCAUUGUAGUGAUUAAGUUACAGAUUGUGGGAAAAAAAAAGACAUUAGACUAUAAUGUUAAGUUGCCAAAUGUUUAAUUGUGGGUUAAUUUCACAUUUGGUCACUAAAGUUUGGGUAAAAUUGCAAAUUGUUCCUUGAAAGUUUAUUUUGUCCACUAAAUAUGGUCUCUGAAAUUAGAGUAAUGCUAUGUAUCACCAAUGGUGAUCAACUCCACUCUAGGUGGCAGUGGAGUUCAUGUUCCACAACGAGUGAUUAAUGGUUUUUCGAAAGUUCUAAAAGGUGCAGGAUUCGGCAAGACGGCAACUUCAAGCCUCAAAUCUUACGGCUUUGUCUAGGACUCUAAACAAAACAAAGUCGCAAUAUGAUGUUUCUCCAUAUUUAUUAUUACUUUAAUUAUCCUUAGACCAUUAGUAAUGAUUCUUUUUGUCAAAUUAGUUUAUUUGACCUCAAAAAGAAUAAAAAAUUUUGGACAGAAUUUUUGUAAAAAAGAAAAAGAGAAAGGAGCUAGCUUUGUGGCGUUUAGGCUUGUGUUACACGGUUAAAAAUAGAGUUGAAUAUAUGUUUCACAAUUUAUAAAUUCGAAAGAUGCUUUGUGAAGUGCUAUGAAUACUUCAAAUAGGUACCAAGAUCUUACACCGAGAAGUGAAGAAUGUAUUUUAAAAUAAUCAAAAAUGAUGAUGCUAUGAUGGAAAUUAGAAGAUAAUAAGUUAGAUUAUUAAAUUCAUUUCUAACCGUCAUCUUUGGCUCUUUUUUAAGAAUCUCCUAUAAUAAUCAUCCACGCAUGAAAGAUAUCUACCAGAUCGUCACUUCAUAUACCAAACAUUUUUAUAUCGUUGCAUUUGAUAUUUUUCAUCCAGCAGAGUGAUGUAAUCAUUGUUUAAUGUUUUUCUCAAUCUACAAUGAGUUGCGAAGUUCGAAUAAAAACUUCGAAAUGGUACCAAGUUUCUAUUCUGAUGAAGCUUGGUAUAAUUCGAAAGAGGUGACGCCAAGUUAGAAUAAAAGAAAAAAAGUUGAAUUAAUAAAACAACUUCUGACAGUCAUCUUUGGCUCGUUAUUUUGAACUCAUUGUCUAAUGAUUCCUUAAUUCGAAAGAUGAAUUAUGAAGUCUGCCAUGGAUACUUCAUAACUAUACCAAGAACCUAACCACAAGUACAUAAUACAUCCUGAAAUAUGUGAUUAGCACAGUGGUAAUCACAUAUUGUACUCGACAUUCUAUCGACCUUGAGUCAGCUGCAAACGUGAGCUCACCUACUUCAUCAGCUAUAUGGAUCAAAGUAAAAAAUGUAACAUAUUUUAACAAUAGGGUUAAAAAAAAAAAUUAAUUAAGUAAAUUAUUUUUAAAUUUGAUCAAUAAAGAAUUAAUGACAUUACCAUCUUCCACAUGAAAAUGCCAAAAUGAAGAUGUGAUCUUUCCUUUGACUUCAAUCAUAGAGUUUAGUGGAGAUGCGUAGGGAAUAUAUUAUUAUUCCCUUAAUUUUAUAUUCCUAUUUAAUCACACGUUUAACUCAAUUAUUGAAAGCUAUAGUGCAAAAAUUAUUUAUGGGGUAGAUUUAUCUGAAAAGGAUAAGCUAAACCUUUUGUUUUGACUAACAAUGCAAUAUAAAUACAAGGGUAAAUUAUUUUUAUCAGGUAAAUUUAUCCAAGGUCGCCCAACUUUCAGCAAACUCACAAGUAAAUCACUAAAAUUAUAAUUUGUCUUGAUUGGAUUUUAAAAUUUCAAUUUGUUUCAAAAUUCACCACUUUGUCUCAUUCCCUUGCACCAAAUUAACAGAAAUUGCUUAGCGACAGUCAUAUCGUAACCGAUCUUCCACCGUAAAUGCAUUAAAAUGAAGGUUACAGCGAUUCUUUAGAUUUAAAGUUCAAUAGGUUGCUUUUUAUCUUAACAAUUUUAUGAUGUAGCAUAGUGGUAAGUUAGAAUGCCACGUAGCUUUUACAUGAAAGAUGUCUGAUACGAUAUAAAGUAAUUAAGUAAUUUUUAUCAACUUGAAAGACGAUGUUGACUGUAAAAUACUAAUUUCUCUCACCUGAUUAGGACUUUCGAUGUUGACUGUAAAAUACUAAUUUCUCUCACCUGAUUAGGACUUUUCCUCCUAACUCUCUGAUCUAAUAUUCAAAUAUGAGCAAUAAGAGAAAUGACUGUUCGGGAUGAAGUUACUAAAUUUUGCAUAUCUCAAUUGUCUCCUAGCCACCCUUAUUUAUAGACUUGUAAUGAGAUUUUGAAGGUUAUAGAGUCCUUUCUACUAACGACACAUGGUAGUUAAUCAUCAGUAGGACUAACGGUAGUUAUUUCUUUACGUUUUAUUCUAAUUUAGACCAUAUAUAUUUGAUAAAGUAUUUUGGCUCGCUUUUCAUAUUCGAGGUCACGUAUAAGACUUCACGCUAUUAAUGUUCACCAACUUACUUCUAAGUUCGCUCUGGAUUCCUUGUCAACAUUUAUUGACAACACAGAAUAUCACUUAAACACGAAGGCUCACUUACACUCGUGUACGAUUCCUUGUCCAUAUUUGUUGACGAUAGACAACAUGUGACAGAUUGGUGAAUUUUUAAACUUAAUUGAUGCUUAUUAGCACAAAUGAGACAAAUUAAGUUUAACAACUAUAUAUAUAUAUAUAUAUAUGAAAGUUCAGUAAUGGCAAAUGAAAUUUACCCGAUUCUUAUUUGGGUUUUGCUAUGUGUACGUCUGGGUAUAUAGUCUUCUCACAAUAGGAGGGUUCGUGAUUUUUUAUUGGGCGUGGCCCCCUAUUGUGGGGGCCUCCGGCAUACAAAUAGUAAAACCUUCUUGAUUCUUUGCAUUGGACCAACCAGACCAUAGGCCGCCUGCAUUUUACCCCUAAAAGUAGCUCUAGGUAAAUAUUUUUCUUCAUUUCUUCACCUUUCUGUGAAUUCACAGUUACUCAUAUUUAAAUAAUCGAUUGACUAAUCGGGAUUGAGCUAAUUUCUUGAUUUCAAUAUGCAAUCAUAAGCUAUAAACAAAUAUAUAAAACAAUUCGUCCAGCAAAGAAAGGGAAAUCUCCACUAAUAAAUAGAGGAAAAUCCUCUCUUGAAUCAUUACGUCCAAAGUAAAUACAACGAAAAACCUCUUAAUGGUGGUGGUGUUGAUUUUGGGUCUCUUAGUGAACUUCCACUGCACUGACGCUUUUGGUCAUUUGAGAAGUGUAGUUGGUAGUUCAGCUGGUGCGAUAGGAGAACAGCCUUUAUCAAAGAUUGCAAUCCAUAAAACCACACUUGCUCUUAGUGAUUUUGCCUCCAUUCAAGCCAGCCCUCUUCUUCUUGGACUCAAAGUAAGCAACUUUUUGUUAUUAAUCGAUAAAAGUAUCAUGACUUACUGCACUAGUGCAUUGCUUCUUGAAUUCAGUUAUAAUUUGAAAAUCUAUUUGCAAUUUUUGGUUACGGAUAACUAAAAGUUCCCACUGAGUUUUUGAAUUUGCAUUAUAGUUAGAGGCCAACGUUUUUGUUUGACAUGGUAACAGGGCGAAGACACUGCAUGGGUCGUUGUGGAUUUUGUAAAUGAAGAACCUUCUAAUGAUGACUGGAUUGGAGUUUUUUCUCCAGCAAAAUUCAAGUAAUCUCCUGUUACUCUUUUAUUAUAGCCUUCUGGCUAUUUCUAGUUUGUCCGUGUUAUAAUACUUACCCUUUGGCCUCGGUUUUUCGCGUAUUCUGUCCCUGCAAUCGGUUAAGAACCAUGAUCGUGCAUAUAUUAGUUGUGAAAUUUGAAUUCUUCGCAUUGUUUUACAUGGUUGAUUAAAAACUGUUGGGAAACUUGACAGUGCAUCGAAUUGUAUAGUGGAAAAUAACAGUGAAGUACAAGCUCCAUAUACAUGCUCUGCCCCAAUAAAGGUGUGUACAAAACAAGCCAUAAUACUAAAGAUUCAGAAAAUGUAACAUGUUUUUUGCUUUCUCUAACUGAUGUCUUGUAACGGGAUUCUUACAGUACAAGUAUGCAAAUCACUCGAAUCCUGAUUACACAACAACUAAGAACGCUUCAGUAAGGUUCCAGUUGAUCAAUCAGCGAGAAGAUUUCUCCUUUGCGUUGUUUGCAGGUGGAUUGUCAAAUGUAUGUAGUCAUUUUUUUCUGUUAUUCUCGAGUUCUUUUCACUUUUUGUUAGUAUUGCUUUGAUGAUAUAAAAAAUACAUCACAAUAACUGGAGAUAGAAAUGAUCAUUGCAGUUCAAAUUCAUUUUACCAUUAACUCCUUCGUCCAACUUAGCCAGAUUUAACUCGGACACAACAAACUAAAGAUAGCUUAUGUUCUCUUCGUAUUCAUGCUGAUAUAUUUUGCUUAUGUUUGUUUUUAUCCUGUUUCCUAAUUCCAUUGCAGCCAAAACUCAAAGCAAUAACAAAUUCCAUAGCUUUUGCAAAUCCUAAAGCGCCAGUUUACCCUCGUCUUGCUCAUGGGAAAUCUUGGAAUGAAGUAAGUUAUUCGGAUUGAUGUUAGUCAAUAAUUAUGUUUUAAUGUGUUAUUUCAUCCUGUAUAGCUCAAUCUUGACUUGAACAUGAAUCUUUGUUUGUUACCUUAGAUUUGCUUCUGUCUUAAAAGCUUUUGUUGGUCGAUUACAAAUUUUUUAAUCCUAAUUUGAUGUAAUUGCAUAUUUUGUCCUUCUAACACUUAGAGCAUGUUUGCUUGGAGAAUUGGAUAGUUUUGUUGAGAAACAAAAAAGGAAGCUAAAGUUUUGUUUAUUCUUCUGCCGAGCCAUAUCCAAUAUUGCACCCAAACAUGCCAUUAAUGUCUUAAAUAGACCUUACUCUCUUGCAGAACUGAACUAUUAAUUUUCUUUUUCUUCUUUUUUCACCUGAAUUACACUUUGCAGAUGACAGUAACAUGGACUAGUGGCUAUAAUAUAGAGGAAGCCAUUCCUUUCGUGGAAUGGGGUUGGAAGGGUAAAGAGCAAAAGCGCUCACCGGCUGGAACAUUAACAUUUGAGCAAAACAGCAUGUGCGGUAUGAUUUAACUUCUAUGACCAAGUUCUUGCUACCAUAUUGUGUUACAAAUUUAGACAAAAAAGGGAUUCUAUGAACUCGGAAUUGGUUAAAGGUAUAAAAAAUGGGUAAACAAGUUCAUAAGGCAUACUUUAACUACUCACAAGUUCUGGCUUAUGAGGGUAUUGUUUGGUUGCUCGACUGAUGAUACUUGUGAAGAAUUUUUCUUAUUAGAUUUUGUUGGAUUUAGAAGUUAUGUUUGUUGGAUAGGAAUAUAAAUUAUUGGAUCAAUAAAUACCUUAGCUUGAAAUAUUUUCUUUAUGGGAAUUAAGUUAGGUUUCAAUACAUAAUACACAAGGUUAACCUGAGUUUUUGGGGGCCUUAGACCAAUUUCAAAUAUGGGACCAUAUAUAUAUGUAAAAAUACAAGUAAAAUAAAAAAUAAUAAUUUUUUGGGGCCCUCACCGAAGUGCGGCCUUAAGCAAUCGCCUACCCCACUUAUAGUUAGGGCCGACACUGAUAAUACACCCAAAACUGCAAACGGAUAGACAUUUCCAAUUUCAUAGAAAGUUUUUUGUCCAAUUCUAUAUGAAGAUUUCAUACUUCAAAUAUCAUGGUCUUUUCUGUUGUUGGCUAUGUUUUCUCUCUGAAUCUACAGCAUUUUGUCUCUUAGUUUAAUGUUAAAGAACGAAUGUUAAUUAAAUCUAUAAGAUGGUCUCCUUUUCAUAUACAUUUAUUAAACAUAAAACAAUAUUGUUAACGGACUGCAUCUGAGAAGGAUCCUAAAAUUGGUUUGUAGGUCCACCUGCAAGUACAGUUGGCUGGCGUGAUCCUGGUUUCAUACAUAUGAGUCACUUAAAGGAUUUGUGGCCAAAUAUUAAGUAAGUUUCCUAAGGUUCGAUGUUUUAGAAAUACAUAAAUUUCUGUAAGCACCAAUUAUUUUGAAAUUCUUGACUGACGCUACCAUGAAUUUUUUUCCAGACAUACGUAUAGGUUGGGUCACCUGUUAACUAAUGGCUCCAUUGUUUUGGAGCAAGAUGUACUCGUUCAGAUCGUCUCCAUAUCCAGGACAAGACUCACUGCAACGUGUUAUAAUAUUUGGUGACAUGGGGAAGGUAUAUUGAGAAUUAAUUUGAAAAAAAAAAAAAAGCAUGCGUCUCUUAUAUUCCAACUGGAAAAAUUUAGAGAACUAAGAUAGAAAGAGUGUAUACCAUUCAAAGAAUUUGAAAAGAUUUGAAUCAAAUGAAAUGAUUAUGGAGUUGCUUGCGAGAAACCAGGUCUAAAUAUUUAUUUGAUAUCUUUAGCUGUCGUGUGAUUAUCAUGAACUAUACAUUUCCAUCAAAUCUUGGUAUCUAAUGCUGAGAACUCAUUGUUUGCUCAGAUCCUUAAUUUAGUGAGAUGAUUUUUCAGGCGGAACGUGAUGGUUCAAAUGAGUAUAGCGAUUAUCAACCUGGCUCUUUGAAUACCACUGAUCAACUCAUUAAGGAUCUCAAGAACUUUGACAUAGUUAUGCAUAUAGGAGAUCUCCCACAUGCAAAUGGCUACAUCUCACAAUGGGACCAAUUCACAGCUCAGGUGGAACCCAUAGCAUCAACUGUCCCUUAUAUGAUUGCAAGGUUUAUCUUUUAAUAGCACAUUAAUAGCAUUUUCUCUAUGCCAAAUAUUCAAAGUGUGUAAUAACAAUUCAUUAUACAGUGGCAAUCACGAGCGUGAUUGGCCUGGUUCAGGAUCCUUUUAUGACACUCCUGAUUCUGGUGGUGAAUGUGGUGUGCUAGCUGAGACCAUGUUCUACGUUCCCGCAGAAAAUAGAGCCAGGUUUUGGUAACUAAUAAUUUAUUUACCAAGCAAAAUACUAGAGUUUGGAAAAUGAUUACUUCUUGUUGGGGUUGCAUCUUGCACGUUAAUCACAUCCGAUGUCAAAAAAUGACUCGUAUACUUAUUUUACAGGUACUCAACAGAUUACGGUAUGUUCCACUUCUGCAUAGCCGAUACUGAGCAUGAUUGGAGAGAGGGGACUGAACAGUACAGGUUUAUCGAACGUUGCCUUGCGCAAGCAGACAGGCGAAAACAACCUUGGUUGAUCUUUGCUGCUCAUAGGGUCCUUGGUUAUUCUUCUAAUGAUUGGUACGGAUUGGAAGGUUCAUUUGAAGAGCCCAUGGAAAGGGAAAGCUUAGAAAAGCUUUGGCAAAAGUACAAGGUGGACAUUGCAUUCUUUGGCCAUGUCCACAAUUACGAAAGAAUUUGCCCAAUUUACCAGGUAAAUCCUUGUAGCAUGUUUAGAAUGCUAGGCUGGAUUGCACUAGAUAGAAUUAAUGACAAAAUAGAAGUUAAAUAUCUUCUAUUAUACUAUGCAAUACUGUUUUUUAAUGUGUCGUAACCCUGUGUCCAUAUGCUCUAGGAUUAUUUAUUUAUUUUUUCCUUUUCUGGUUAGGUUUGUGUCAAAUAUCUUUAUUUAAGAGGUAAGUUAGCUUCUAUAGACUGGAUCUUGAAUUUUGCCUCAUAUUCAAGCUUUGUUGAUCCUUUCGUGCAGAAUCAGUGUGUGAAUUCUGAAAUAUCACAUUACUCUGGCACUGUGAAUGGGACAAUACACGCUGUUGUUGGUGGAGGAGGGAGCCAUUUGUUAGAGUUUAGUCCCCUUGAAACUGCUUGGAGUCUCUAUAAGGAUUAUGAUUUUGGAUUUGUCAAAUUAACUGCAUUUAACCACUCGUCCCUUCUUUUUGAAUACAAGAAGAGUAGUGAUGGAAAGGUGUACGAUUCUUUCACUAUCUCAAGGGAUUACAAAGAUGUCUUAGCCUGUGUGCACGACAGCUGUGAAGCUACCACUUCAGCGACUUGACCCUUACAUGUUAUUGAAAGGAAGCCAUUGAUAAGAUGUUCGUCAGAACAGUUCUAGUUGGUAUAUUUGAGCAAUAAGGCAUCAUAGUAAUGUAGAGUAUGUCAAGUUGUGAUGUGUAUUCAUUUCAUUACGCCGUGUCAUCAAGUUUUCGUUUCUCUCAUACCAGUGAGAGUUUUCGAUUAUGACUAUUAAGUUUAGUUGUCAGAAGACAAUUUUGCUAUGCUCAAUCAUCAUGUAAUAUUAAUUGCGCUUGGUUUUGUUAUCAAGUUCUCAUCAUUCUCAGAUCAUGAGUAUGAAUAUUGUUGGAAGAACAAACCAAAUUAACCCUAUUAGCAUAUUUGGGUACUUUGAGUAGUUCAUGCAUUUCAACUUAUUAGAUAUAAUUAGUAAGAGAUUAAUGUCCAUGCUUUAUACAUCAAUCUGAUAGAUCCCAACUCACAUAAUAAAAUAACAAUGGCAGAAUAGGGAAAUGAAUGGGAUAGUUAGCAGCACAUGCAAGUAACAGAGGCAGCUGGAGAAUUAGUUAGAUAACCAUUAUAAAGAGUUCGGCAAACAGAGAGGAAAGGGAGCAGAAAUUGAGUAUAGACUUGGGGUGAGAAUUGGGUCUCUCGAAAAACCAAAUACCUUUUAGUUCUUGUUAUUAAUUACAGAGCAAUAUAGUUAUACAGUGUUAUUGAAUUGCUGUAUUACAAUUUUCAUUUACCAAUUGCUGUCAACAUAAAUAAAUCUAUGUACAUUCCGUUGAAUUCUUCUUGAAUUGAAUCUUCUUCCGUAUUGUUUCUUUGAUUCUGUGUUGAGCUGCCAUAGGAACAGGAACUUAUCAAGUGGUAUUAGAGUGGUCGAUUUUUGGACAAAUGGAAACUAAUUACGACGGUGAAUUGGAAUAGAGAUGGGGCUUGCUAUUGAAUCGGUUUGAGAAGAUGAUAAGGCAACGUAAUGAAGAAAGUUGAGACGAUGAGUCGGAGCUGGAUGCACGAGGUCGACUCAUAAUAUCCAUGUUCUAUGGGGACAAUAUAGAGUGGUGGUUGUCUAGGGCUGAGGAGAUUUUCCAUAAAAAUCAGUUAUCGGAAGUAGAGAAAAUAGAAGCUGCUACAGUGAGCUUUGAUGGAGAAGCAUCAAGCAUGGGAUUGGUUUCAAUGGCUAGAUCGUCGCCGACCCGUGAAAACUUGGAGAUAAUUGAAAGAGGGGAUGAUAGGCAGAUAUCGGCCAUCUGUAGAAGAGAACUCACCGGAGCAUACCUUUACUUCUGAGAUUCCAACUGAGGUCGAUAUAGGUAAUUUAGUUCUUCCAGUAGCAUUCAGAUCUACAUACAAUCAAUACCAACAGAUUAGUUGCGUCCACCCCUCAGCAGCAGAGAAGAGGCAAUCUUCAGUAGCAAUAUCAUUUGAGUUUCCAUUCGAAGAAUUAGGAGCCACGUUGGGAACAGUACGUAUGGAAGACAUGAGUCGCAGUGGGAAGCCAGGGCGAGCAAAACAUUCGAUGGAAAAAGGUAGGACGGCGGCGGAAACCAAAUCGAAGGCCCACAAAAAUUAGAGUAAUUCGAAGUUAGUCAGAAUCACAGGGUUCAUCGAAAGCUGUUCGAAAAUUUUGUCGCCUCUUUACAGACAUCGUCAGAGAAAUUUUAGAGUAAUAAAUUGGUGGAUAAUUCUAAGUGUACAUAAUUUGGUUUACCUACUCUCACAAACACGUGGACCCUGUGUAAAUAAAAUAAUCCCAACAUGUGGACCCCACAGGGGCGGAGCCACUAUAUGUCCAGUGCGAACAGAUGCCCGCACUGGACUUUUGGGCCCAAAAAUAAAUUUUUGUUUGUUUGUUUGUUUGUUUAACCUAGUAACCCAAUUCUCUAUCUAGCCCAGAGAGAGAAAUCCAAUUGUGCAAUGCCAUGAUUUAUUUUAGACCCAUUCAUAUCAAAAUUCAAUUGAAUCAAUUGUUGAUCCAAACCCAUUCAUUCAUUUCAAAAUUUCUACCCUUCGUGACUUUGUCUAUGACGACUUUGCACUUCGCCACCCACUUCCCUCUCCACCCGUGACAAAGCCCGCCGUUCCCUUCCCUCUCAGUCAAUCGUUGUCUUCGACAGUCGUCACAGUAUUACCGUCGUUCCCUUUCCCUCUCUGACAGUCCAUUAUUGAAUAUCUCCUACUCUAGGCUCUCAUCUUGACAUCUCACAUCUCCGACUCCGACUCUACAUCCUCAUCUCCGCCAAGGCGCUAAGUGCCAACGCCAACCAGCUGAGCCAGCAAAAGAAGAAGCGAGAUUCUAGAAAGCAAAAGGCGAAGCCCCAAAUUUUUUUCCCUUAUUUUUUUUGUUAUUUCAAUUUGUGUAAAUUGUAAUAAUAUUUAUUUUUUUCUUUUUCUUUUUUUUUUAACAUAAGAAAUUAGCACUUUGUUCUUUAAUUGCUCGAAGCGGCACAAACUUCCAGUGUACCGCCAGUUCAUUGUUGCCUCUGGGCUCUGGCUCUCUGGGAAUUUGUGAUUGCAAGUUCAAGUUUCCUAGUAUUUGGAAAUAGUAUAUAUUGCAUUGUGAAAUUGUGAAUUGGAGUAUUGAACUGUGAAUGGAUUAAGUAAAAUUGUGAAUUGCACUAGACAAAUGGUAUAUAUAGGUAUUGGCGUAUUGCAUUGUGAAUUGAUUAUGUGAAAUUGUAAAUUGCAUUGAGUUUUGUGAGUUGCUUCCAAUAUUUGUGAUUCAUUUGACAUCUUGAAUUACUCCCACUCCUAGUAGUAAUUUGGUGAUCAGUGGAUGAAUGAUAGCACAAUUGUUUAUGUGAGAAAGAUAUAUUUUUGAGGCUCGAUAAUGAAGUUAUUGUACAAUGAUAUCAAAGAAUGAAAACUCGCAAAGAACAAGUGUAAUAUAUAAAUUAUGUAGCUUUUGUAUUGAUGUACUAUUGUUUUAUUUUUUUAUCGUCAUUAAAUCCAUGACCAAAAUCUUGACAUUCGUCGUCAAAAAUUUUUUGCCCGCACUCAACUAUAAUCCUGGCCCGCCCCUGGCACCCCUAUUGUGAGUGAACGUAAAGCAUUAGGUAAAAAAAAAAUAGGUAUAUCUAGCAUAGUCCUAAAUUGGUUAGUUGAUGACAGAAGGCCAUAGCCUUGAGAUUUGGGCCAUUUUGAAGAAACAAAUCCACAGAUUGAAGAAACAAAUUCAGUGGUCCAAUAUACAAGGACAGGAUCCAACCCAGUGAAAAGAAAAAUCACUUUAGCCGUUGUUGAUUCCCAGUUUGGGGAAAAUAAUGUAUUUUGAAUAGUAAAUUAAUGAAGAAUGUAUGGUUAAAAUUCAAAGAAAGUUUUGAAUUUACGUGUAACAUUAUUCUAUUGAAAAAUAUAUGGUUGAAAAUGAAUUUUUACAAGAAUGGGAAUCAAACAAGGCAUAAGUAAUACCCAACCCACUAAUAGCAUUCCCGUAUAUUCACGAUUUAGCUUCAAUCCAACCCCUUUUUUUCAUCAGAGUCAGGACGAGGCACUGUCUCUUCCUGCCAAGCCCAAUCAUUGCUCAACAAAAUAAAAAUUUUGGGCAUUUGCUAGUUUUAAUUUUAACUCUGUAGUCUUUACCAGCACAAACGACGUUAAUUUACUGUAUUUCAAACAUGCAUCUAUUUCCAAGCAGAAAAGCCACAAAAUCAAGGACUCUGGACAAGGUGGAUCACAGCAACAUAACAAAUGCAUACACAUAAAUGAUUUGCAAAUAAGAAACAGAAAAAAAAAAUUGUAGUAGUUAAAAAAUGGGACCAAUAAAGCCUAGGGAAGCAAGUGAAUGGCGGCAACAACUUACGUACAAGGUGCGUGCAGGCGUCAAUAACUCUGGAAUGAGGAUGCAAACCGGGGAGGGAGGGGGGGAGGGGAAGCAGUUGAGUUGAAAGCGUACCAUGGUUUCCAGAUAAUAACCAAAACCGCCAACGUCGUAGGUCAUUUUCGUUUGCUGCAGAUCGGAGCCUUAGAAAUUUGUUGCGCAAGUGGACUGUGAAGUCCAGCCCGGAUGUGAUGCGUCGUCGGGGGAAGAUGAUAAGGACGCCGAGCGUGGCCUUGCACAGGGGUCGACCGGCACCGUUCGGCUGAGCAAAGUUUUCACCGGCAAUAUGCAGAUGCGGUUCUCUUCGCCACAGUGUAGUGCACUGAUUCGAUGGAGAUGGAAGGCAAUGGGGUUUGGGUUUUUGCAGGGAAGGAGGCUGGUAUGUUAUUAUUGAAGGGCAAAUGUGUAAAAUGAAAUAGGAAAUAAGGGGUGUUGGUGUCAAUUUGGUCUAUAUGUUGUGCGUGCAAUUAAUAAUUCAACCAUGUGCCUGCUGAGUUUGUCAGAAGUUAGAAUCAGAUAAAUGUGACUUGGUGGUCAAAAAGUUUGAAAAAAUAAAUGAACCAAAAAUGUAAUGGGGCUCAGACAGAGGUUUUAUAUCUCAGUAGUAACAAAUUAUUAUAAUAGAAAGUCAAAAUUUUAAGAUCUUAACAAUAUCAAUUAAGAACAAUGUGAAAUUUUAUCUAAUUAUUAAGGUCCUCAAAUUUAAUAAUUACCUAUGAGGUUCCUAUAUUAAAGGUUCAAAACCUUAUUUCCCAUCAAUUGGUUUCAGCAAUCAACUCCAUUAAUACAUUUGAUUUUACAAUAUCCAAUUUUUAUGCAUUUCCAAAUAUUUAAAACAUUUCAGAAUUGGCAAUCAUGCAAAACCUUUUUAAAGAUGAAUUGUAUAUUUAAAUAAUUAUGUCAAUGCAUUGAAAAUAUUAAAAUAUAACUUCUCUUUACUAAUAUUCAAAAAAUACAUCAAGAUAUGUAACUUUCAUAGAAAAAUAUUCAACGUCACCAAAUUAAAUAGGAUAAUGUAAGACAAGUAGUCCUCAAAAAAUUUCACCUGUUAAUUUUUUUUUGUAAAAUAUGCAAUUGUUAGAGUUUUUGGUGUGGGGGGGGGGGGGAAUAGCAAUUAUCAUGGCCAAUAAAUAAAAUACAUCAGUUACAAAGGUCAUCAAUAAAUUAUACAGUUUAAGAACUGAUUACAACCAUUGUAAUACGAGAACAUUGAAGUUUCCUAUUCUCUACUAAAGCCAAAACAUAAAAUAUAAAAUAAGGGCAUAAUUAUUACUAACGAAAUACCAGGGUAAACCAGCCUGUUACCGUUAAGCAGAAAAUAAAGAUUGGUUUUCUCACUUUUUAAGGUUUACCCUAAACCCAAAAAAAUAAAAUAAAAUAACAACAACAACAACAACAAUAAUAACUGAGAGAAAAAGUUAAUUUACACAAAAAUCACAUUACACAAACUUGUGUACGUCAACAGUGCAUUGAUUGUUUUUUCAACUCCCCCCAUCACCCCAACAACACCCGACCCCCUUUGUGUAUAAAUGAUUUUUCUUAUUUUUGUCUUAAUUUUUGACAUUAUAAUGGGAUGUCAAACAAAGUUGAAAUAUUGCAUUUUUAUUAUCAUUUCGAAGUACUCACGACCUACUUUUUACGCGUUAUUAACAGCGUACAAAAUGGUCAACCAUAACAACAGUUACGACACGUCAAAUUAUGUUGUUCUAAACUACUAUUUUGAAAAUUUCGAUAAUAUGCUAACUUUAAAAUUCGCUGACGACUGUACACUGGUCGAAUCUAGAAAUCAUCUACGUCAUCUUGAAGUUAGUUCCAAGAAUUAUAUAACAUAUCGAAUAAUUCAAAUGGAUUAGUUCCGAGAAUUAUAUAACAUAUCGAAUAAUUCAAAUGGACAUCGUUUGAACAUAAAAAAUAAUUAAACGAGCGUAUUCUUUAAGAAUUUUCAAUUAUUUCAUUAACGUUUAUUAUUUUUGCGCGACAUAUUUCUCAAUGUAAUAUAUAUCAUUUUAUUAGGAUAUUUUUACAUGGGGUAUGAUAUAAAAAAUUUAUGGAUCGUUGGACAAAAUUUAAUAAAUUAAUAUUGAAUAAUGUUCAAGUUCAAAUUAUUUUUUUCUUUUUAAUACACAUUUUUUUUUUUAUUAAUUUGUUUAUUCAUCCUUUACAUACCUAACAUAAGGAUACCGUUUGGACAUCGAAAUUAAUCCUUAUUUAAUGUGGAUUAAAAAUAUGUUCAAAUGAUGUCCAAACAAAAUAACAUAAAGGGACAUCGUUUGGACCUCAAAAAUAAUCCUUUAAAGCUCUUCUUGAAAUGAAAGAAUGUGGAUUAAAAAGGAAAAAAAAAAUGUAUAACGACAGAAAGAAGGAAAGAUCCUACCCCCCCAUCUCUUUAUCCAGAAAGGUGUAACUAACGAAAAUUUGUGUAACGACCCGAAGAGCUUUAUGAUAGGUAUUUAAAGGAUGAAAUAACACAUUUAUAAAAAAAAAAAUGGAUUAAAAAGAAAAAAUAUAAUUCGAAGUUUAUUAUAUUUUGUGUAACAAUCUGAAAUUUUUGACAUCAUAUUCCAUGUAAAAGUAUUCUAACUAAAUGAUAUAAAUUAUAUAGAAAAAGUUGUCGCAUAAAAAUAAUAAAUGUUAAUGAAAUAAUUGAAAUUUUUUUAAAGAAAAGAUGAGUUAGACGUCUCUUAUUUGGAUAUUCAAAUGAUCUCCAUUUGGAUUACUUGAUAUUUAUCAUAUAAUUUUCAAAACGAGAUUCAAGAUGAUAUAGACGAUUUAUGAAUUCGACUAGCAUUCAAUUACCAAGAAAUUUUCGAAGUUAACAUAUUAUUGAAAUUAUCGAAACAUUAGUUAGAAACUACCUACUUUGAUGUGUCAUAGCUAUUGCUACUAUUGGCAGUUUUGUAGAUCGUUAAUGAUGCAGGAAAUUAGAUCGUAAGUACUUCAAAAUGAUAAUAAUAAUGCAAUAUUUCGACUUCGUUUGACAUUCUAUAAUAAUCUCGAAAAUUAAGACAAAAAUAAGAAAAUAAUUUAUAUAUAGGGGGAGGUGUGUUGGGAAGAAGCCGAAUAAACAAUAAAUGCAUCGUUGAUAUGGCAACAUCACAUCAACGGACUAUUCUCCUGCCCAACAAGUCUGUACAACAAUAUCAAUUCGCGUUACAUAGCAUUACUCUUCUUAGCAAAGUACCCUUACUUUUUCUCUCUCUUAGAGGUGAGGUGAAAAGAAAAAAGAAAAAAAUAAAUAAAUUAACAAUUGACUGUCAAUUUUGGAAUUAGGUCUAUGUGUAACACACUAACUAGAGUAUGUUCUAAACUCAGACGCCAAAUUUGGUCCGAUUAUAUUCAAAUAUGGGUGUCCCCCCGGUACUUUAAUUCUAACAUGUUAAACUAAUUAACGAUGUUAAGCUUCUGUUUGGUUUAGUUAAAAUUUAAAUUUUUAGCAAAUUUUGAUAAAAGUUGACGAAAUAUAUGAUUAAAAAAAUUAAUAAAAAUUAUGGAUCUCGUGAAAAAUUAUAGGUCUCAUGAAAGUGUGAUUGAAAAUAAAUUUGAGGAAAAAUGAAUUUUAGAAAGUGGGGCCAAAGAUGAGCCAAUUUCUUACAUCCAAUUCAUAUUUUAAAAUAUAUUAGCUUGAAUAAAUAUCAUUAUAAAUAAAAUAAUCUUUUGUGGUAAAAUAAUGAGAUGAUUAUUUAGUAUUAUCAUGAUACAUAGAUAAGUCUUAUCUAGUAUAUAAAAUAUAUUACAUUCCAAUUGUAACUCUUACUUUAAAUUGUAUAAAUAUAUGACAUUGAUUUUUAAUACUACGUAAAAGGUUAUUGAUUUCUCUCAUUUGUUCUCUCUUUCUUUCUCUAAUUGAGAACAUUUUAUUAGCAUGAAUAUCUAAAAAUUGAAAUCAAUUAGUUAGAAGUUAGUCUAUACAUAAUCUCUUACUAUUCACAAAUGCAAUAUUCUAGACACUUUUUCUAGCCUUUAAUUCUAUAAUAUGUCGCUGUACAUAAUUUGGCCUUUCUUAUUAGACUAUCAAAUUUCCCUAUUACCAUGUACACAUAUUCUUAUGCCAUCAUCAGCUUUUAUCCAUAUGUUGAGUUUUAUUUUUGCAUCAAUUAUGCCGUUCUUAUCUCCAACCACAAAUGUCACUGUAUGUUCUUUUCUCUUUCAUGCCAUAUUGUAGAGAUGAGCAUGUCUGUUUUUAUAUGAAUUAUGAAUAUAAUAUUAUAAUUUAUACUUACUGUUGAACACAAUUGGAUUUAUUUGAUAUGGUAAAAUAGAUCUGUUAAUUUUUACACUUAACUUGAAAAAUGGUAAUUUCAUAAAUAAUUUGAAAAAAUAUAUUUUGUUGUUGCGCUUGAAGUAGCACAGUAAUGUAAUUAAUAUUCCGAAAAAAAUAUUAUUUGCUCAUGAAGAGCAUGAAUUAUAAUUUUUAAUAUUCCGAAAAAAAAUUGAUAUGUUGCUCUUGAAGAAGCACAUCUUCUCAAAUAUUAAUAUUCAACUAGAAAACAUAAUUUUGAAGAGUUAAUGUUUUAUUGUCGGUGCUCCUAAAAUAGUACAACAUUGUUAAUAUUGUAAAAGAAUAUUAUUGCAUGUCUAUCCCUUAAGGAAAACAUUUAAUUAAUGUCAUCCGGGCAUUGAUUAGUUUCAUUAGUUGAAUGAUAUAUGAUUAUGUAAGAUUUAAUCAUAUUUUUUGAAAUCAAAUAAUUGAAUUAUACUUAUGUUAAAUUGGAAGGUCAAUUUUUAUUUUAUUGUUUGGCACUACCAAUUAGAUAAUCAUCGGAUCAACGUGAUGUGGAAUUGAGAAUCCAAUGGACAGUCAACAAAGAACAUGAAGAUUCUUCGACCUAAUGAAUUCAUAUAUGUUAUUUGUUCUCUUUAUCGAAAUUUAUCAUUAAUCAUCACUAGCUAAAAUAGGGAUCGAAUUUUUUAUGUUUUUGAAAAUUAAUUAGGAUGAUAAAUGUGACAUCAUCAUCCUCCAUGUUGACCAUCUACAUAUUAUAUGUAUCUAAUAUAUUUGAUAUAAAUACUAGAUGAUUGCAUGGUGUUAGCAGCUUGAAAUUUGCGAAACUACUGCUCAAAUAAUAAGCAUAAUUUUUCGAUUAUAAAAUCUAGACGGUGUGUCUUGUUAAUGCUAGUAAAUUUAAAAUCUCAAGUUUUUAAUCAUUGUUAGUUCAUAUAUCAAUAAAUGAUUUAAUAUUAUUGUUUGUUAACGACUCCAAUUAAUUGAGAACGAAGUUAUUCCCAUUUUUUAUUUAGGUAAUGUUAUUAUGCAGCAUUCCAAUAUUGUAGUUUUCCCAGUUAUAAUUAGCUCAUGAUCAAUGCCUUAUUUUUUUCAUCAUACUAUUUGAUAGUGCAGUAUAUGUAAAAUUGCUACACUAUAAUGUAUUGGGAUGGAAAGUAAAUAAUGCUGAGAAUAAAUGAGUAGUUUGGAUACAUAUAUAAUAUCUCAAACCUUAAUGAGUGUUAUUUCAUAAAUCGGUUUACUGCUUAUCAAUUUAAUUGCACAAUUCUUUUAGUGUUAGGGGAAGAAAUUAAAAAGUCGGAAAUAAUACUCAAAUACAUCAUUAUUUAAAUCAUCGCAAAAGACAAUUCGAAACACAAGUUCGAGAGAUAAUUUAUUUUGAUAUAUUUACUCGCCAAAUAAAUCAACAAUAUCAUACACUAGCUUUAAAUGAUCCAUUUUGAAUUGAUUCAUGGAAUAACAACUAGUUAAUAUUAUUUGAUAAAUUCAUGACACUCUUGAAGUGUGAUAUAUUCGAUUCCAAUGUGAAAAUCUCAAAAUAAAAAUUGACUAAUUAGUAAAGAUUGUCUCAUUAAAGAGGCAUACUUUUGGUGUGAUGAAUGUCCGUAACAUACAAGAUAUUUACCUUCAAAAUAAUAUUUUGAUAUAUAUGAGACUCUUGAAGAAAUUAAUAAGAAAUAUUUUUCGAAUCAUCAUGUUAUUACAGUCAUCAAAGAUUGAUAAAAUAUAUCUUAUGAAGAUGGUGUUACUUGAUGAUUGUACAGGACAACAUGAUACAUAUUUCACCAAAAAUUGUAAUAUUGAAGACCAAACGUACAAGACAUGGAUCAACUGACACAAGAAUUUUCAUUUAUUGAAAUCAGGGGGAGUAGUUGUACUAUUUUUUCCUUCAAUCAGAAUUUGUCUCACUGAAUUUUUUCGAUAAGGUUUUUAGGAAAUAGCAUUUUAUUACUCCAAAUUAUUCUCUUUUUUAUUAUUUGUAUUUUUGUCCAAUCAAUUUUUUUGUCAAACAAUGUUUCAAAUGGUACAGUUAUUGUGCAAAUAAUCAUCAAAGGGGAGUGUUGUAAAAUAAUGAGAUAGUUAUUAAUGAUUAUUUAGUAUUAUCAUGAUAAAUAGAUAAGUUUUAUCUAUUCUAGAAUAUUUAUUUUAUUCCAAUUAUAAAUCUUAUUUUGGACAGUAUAAAUAUAAGGCAUUGUUUCUAAAUAAUACAUACAAAUUUAUUAAUUUAUCUCUUUUGUUCUCUCUAAUUUAGAACAUCAUUGAAUUUCAUAAUAAAAGUAAUAUUCUAACUGAACUCAAGUAUUUGAUGAAAAGAAUUGGACAUUUUAAGAGCUUGAUGAGGAUUUGUACGAUAAUGCGAAAAUGCUUUCCUUAUGUACGAAAAUUGGAUUAACUGUAUAGAGUACAAUAAUGCAAAAAUGCUUUCCUUGAGACAUUACAUGGUGUUUGAUGGAUAUUAAAAUUAGAUUUUUAGUAGAUCUUUAUAAAAAAAAAAAAUUUGAAAUACAUGUUUGAAAAGUUGUGGAACCCAUGAAAAUGUGAUUAAUAUUAAUUAUUUGAUUUUGACUGAAAUUAAAAUUUAUUAAAAUCUGAGUCAAUCAAGAGCUGUGUCUUCGUCAAUACCGUGACGCACUCAAGUACGAAAAUACGUUUUUAGAUUCAAUAAAACAUUGAGGCCCCGUUUGAUAUUCAUUUUUUUAAAAAUAAGAAUGAAAAAUAUAGUAGUUACGGGAUCUGUACAAGAUAUAUAAAGUCAAAUAUAGUGGCUUGAUGUGAUGAAUAACGAUCAUAUUUUUCAUUUUUGUGGUCAAAAAAUGAAAAUCAAACGGAAGCUUAAUCUCGUCCAUGCGUACAAACUUAGAUAACCCAAAUACUGAAGUUUUUUAUUAUUAGAGAGAUGCGUAGGGAAUAUAUUAUUAUUCUUUGCUUUAGUUUUAUAUAACUCUAUUUAAUGACACCCUCGGCUGCUGCGAAUAGCAAUUUAAAAUUUAGCCCUUUACACACUAAUUGAAAGUUGUAAAGUUCAAAAAUAGGUUAAAUUUCAUCUGAGUACAUUGAACUUUCAGAAAAGUCACAAUUGAAUCAUUAAACUUUAAUUUGUUUGAAUUGAGUCAUUGAACUCUAACUUUGUUUCAAAAUCCACCACUUUGUCACAUUUCGUUACCUUUUUGUCUCCUAAACUAACAUAAAUUGCUUAGUGGAUAAAUCGAUCUUCCUUAAACAUUACAUUGCACUUUGAAACAAAAUGGCAAAACAUGAGUUAUGAUUAUAUCUUUUAGUUAAAAGAUUAAAGGAUGCAUUUUUUUAAUUUUUAUAUUAUGAAUUAAUCUAUGUGUACAAUGUUUUUGUACAACAUUGUCAACAAUGUUGUUUGUGGCAAAAAAUUGUUAGCUGAAAAGAUAAAAUUAUUUUUUUAAUUGUUCAAUAACAACAUAUCAAGUGGCGUGUUGUUGUCAAAAUAAUUGUGCAUCAAGCAUUGUUCUUAUAUUAUAGUGUUGUGUUGAUGCGAUACAACAAUUAUGUGAAAGAUCUGCUAAAUAACUAUCAAUUAAACAAUUUUAACAAUUUGAGAGACUAAAAUAUGACGAGUGAUGCAAUUUGAAGCUAAAUUAAAGUUUAGUUACACAAUUGAAAUAAAAUUGAAGUUCACUUGUCCAAUUGAGAAAAAUUAAAAUUUGAUGUCAAUAUAGAUUUUUUUUUAAAUUCAGUGACCUCUGAUGAAAUUUGCCCAAUUUUUAUUCCUUGCAUUGGAAUAUCCAGAACGGAGGCCGGUUCCGCCUGAACUUCUACGUCUUUCUCUGAAGUCAAACUGUUCUAGAUUUCAAUAUCCAAUCUGUAAAAACAGAUACAUAAAUCAAAAUUUCCUGCAAACAACGGGAAUUUCCAUUAAUAAAGAUUCACAAUAAUUCUCUUAGUCGCUUGAAUCAGUACCUCCAAUAAUCAAACAAUGAAGCACGUGUUUUUGAUUUUGGGUCUCUUAGUGAUCUUCCAUGGCGCUGCUGCUUUUGGUCAUUUGAAUAGUGUAGUUGGUAGUUCAGCUGGUGCUAU